GAUGAACGCUGGCGGCGUGCCUAAUACAUGCAAGUCGAACGCUGGAAAUCUAGCUUGCUCGAUUGAAGGAGUGGCGAACGGGUGAGUAAUACAUAAGCAACCUACCCACGAAGACUGGGAUAAUCUCUGGAAACGGGGACUAAUACCGGAUAGGUAAUCGGAAGGCAUCUUCUGAUUAUUAAAGGUUAAAAACACUGGUGGAUGGGCUUAUGGCGCAUUAGUUAGUUGGUGAGGUAACGGCCCACCAAGACGAUGAUGCGUAGCCGGCCUGAGAGGGUGAACGGCCACAUUGGGACUGAGACACGGCCCAGACUCCUACGGGAGGCAGCAGUAGGAAAUUUUCGGCAAUGGGGGAAACCCUGACCGAGCAACGCCGCGUGAGUGAUGACGGCCUUCGGGUUGUAAAGCUCUGUUGUAAGGGAAGAACGGUAGAUAGAGAAUAUCUAAAUGACGGUACCUUACCAGAAAGCCACGGCUAACUACGUG
rnacentral:rRNA from 1 species